CACUGCGAGCUGCGCGUGUGCCGUGCGACGCACGAGCCCCGUGCCGACAAGGGCCAGGGCCUAUUUCACUACGUGCGGUCGCAGUGUUCGGUACGCUGAUCGCGUAAAGGCCCUUACUCCAGUUGACAUAUCGUGCGGUCCGCGACUGUAACACAUUCGGAUCCUCGGAUGGGUGUCAGUUUUGAUUCUUCGUUGCGGGUCCAUGGCGUGAGAAAUUUUCCAACCAGAUGAUGUAGAAAAAUAACAU